AUAUCAAUAAGCGGAAGGAAAAGAAACUAACAAGGAUUCCCUCAGUAACUGCGAGUGAAGCGGGAAAAGCUCAACAUUAAAAUCCGGUAGCCCUUUCGUGGGGUGGUCCGGAGUUGUAAUCUAGAGAGACGUCAUGUCCGCACUGGAAACCCACUCACAAGUCCCUUGGAACAGGGCAUCAUAGAGGGUGACAAUCCCGUUCGUGAUAAGCUGGAACUAGUGCAUUUGAGACGCGUCUUCACAGAGUCGAGUUGUUUGGGAGUGCAACUCUAAACGGGUGGUAAACUCCAUCUAAAGCUAAAUACAGGCGAGAGACCGAUAGCGAACAAGUACCGUGAGGGAAAGAUGAAAAGCACUUUGGAAAGAGAGUUAAACAGUACGUGAAAUUGCUGAAAGGGAAACGCUUGAAGUCAGUCGCGUCGACAUAAGGGUUCAGCCAAGUCUCGGCUUGGUUUACUCCCCAAGUCGACGGGUCAGCGUCGAUUUUGACCGUCGGAAAAGGGCUGGAGGAAGGUGACAGGUUAGAAAAAAAAAAAUAACAUGUUUUAUAGCCUUCAGUCGUAUGCGACGGUUGGGAUCGAGGGAGUUAAAUUGGCGAGCGACGGCGGGGGCCUCUUGCCCCGUCGUCGUCAAUAAAAAAAAAAAAUAAACUAACACGAAACGCCUUUUGAUGCUGGCUUAAUGGCUUUAAACGACCCGUCUUGAAACACGGACCAAGGAGUCUAACAUGCCUG
rnacentral:rRNA from 2 species